AGGUUCCCAAUGUUAAUCCAAGUCUCUGCCAACAAUGAGUCUGUCCUUUCUCACUGUCUCUCUGGUCUCCAUCCUCUGGCCCUGUCUGUCACUGGGAGCUUUGGUGACUCAGUGGCCGCGGACAGUCACAGCCAGAGAGGGGGAGACAGUGAGUUUGAAUUGUUAUCAGAAUGACACAGACUAUCAAGUAAUGCUCUGGUACUUCCAACCCCAUCAUGGAGGCCUCACAUUGAUCGCAUACGCCGUGGUGACAACUCCAACGUAUGAGAAAGGCUUUGAAUCCGGCUACAAUAUGACAAAGACAACUGAUGACAAGGAAUCCUCCCUGAAGAUCUCCAACUUGAACCCAACCCAGGAGGGGGUGUAUUACUGCGCUGCGAGAGAAGGACACAGCGUGAGAUAGAGACAGAUCUCUCGUACAUAAACCUCACACAGGACAAACAACGACUCGAUUCUAUACACACACACACCAGCCCCUCC